rnacentral:rRNA from 1 species
CCUACGGUGGGCAGCAGUGGGGAAUUUUGGGCAAUGGGCGAAAGCCUGACCCAGCAACUCCGCGUGUGGGAAGAAGGCUUUCGGGUUGUAAACUUCUUUUGACAGGGACGAGCAGAAGACGUUACCUGUCGAAGAAGCCACGGCUAACUACGUGCCAGCAGCCGCGGUAAUACGUAGGUGGCAAGCGUUGUCCGGAUUUACGGGGGGGAAAGGGCGUGUAGCCGGGCUGACAAGACAGAUGUGAAAUCCGGGGGCUUAACCCGCGAACCGCAUUUGAGACUGUUGGGCUUGAGUAUCGGAGAGGCAGGCGGAAUUCCUAGUGUAGCAGUGAAAUGCGUAGAUAUUUGGAGGAACACCAGUGGCGAAGGCGGCCUGCUGGACGACAACUGACGGUGAGGCGCGAAAGCGUGGGGAGCAAACAGGAUUAGAUACCCCUGUAGUC